GUUUUGCCCCCUGAUUUCUCUCGAUCUAUCCGCGUUUUAAAAACGCUUUCUAAACCAAAUAUCUUCACCACACAUCAGUCUAGCCCUAGCCGCUUUCCUCAUUCAAUUUCGCUGAGAAUCCUUUCCGAAAUCAUCAACCAAAGUUUGUCAAAAAUCUUCGAUCCAAAUCCAGUUCCGAAACGUUCCAGUCGAAGAAGACUCACGUACCUACAAGUCCCAAUUUUCGUUUCGUAAAACGCCGUUCGGAGGUCGAAAUCAAUUCCGUUUGUUUUCCGUGAAAGUAGACUCACACAUCUACGUUUCUACACUUUUUGUUCGUCAAACGACCUGUCGACUGUUCGUGCUUCGGAGUCUACGCAGGGUUAGCUGUUUGCCAAGAUCACGUGGAUAAGCAAGCUGUUUAUGAUUUGAAAGCUGGUCCACUCCGAUUCUUUUGAUUCCUCGGAGGUUUUUAUGUUAUUAAACUAGUUUCUAUUUUUCGAACUCUUAGACCGCAGUAGAACUAGUUAUUUAUUUCAUUGGAUUAUUAUACUUUGGGAUUAUCGAUUUGCUCGAUUAUUUAUUGGCAUGUUC